rnacentral:rRNA from 1 species
CCUACGGGUGGCUGCAGUGAGGAAUAUUGGUCAAUGGGCUAAGGCCUGAACCAGCCAAGUCGCGUGAGGGAAGACGGUCCUAUGGAUUGUAAACCUCUUUUGUCGGGGAGCAACGAGGCCACGUGUGGCCGAAGUGAGAGUACCUGAAGAAAAAGCAUCGGCUAACUCCGUGCCAGCAGCCGCGGUAAUACGGAGGAUGCGAGCGUUAUCCGGAUUUAUUGGGUUUAAAGGGUGCGUAGGCGGAAUAUCAAGUCAGCGGUAAAAAUUCGGGGCUCAACCCCGUCGUGCCGUUGAAACUGAUGUUCUUGAGUGGGCGAGAAGUAUGCGGAAUGCGUGGUGUAGCGGUGAAAUGCAUAGAUAUCACGCAGAACUCCGAUUGCGAAGGCAGCAUACCGGCGCCCAACUGACGCUGAAGCACGAAAGCGUGGGUAUCGAACAGGAUUAGAUACCCCUGUAGUC